rnacentral:lncRNA from 1 species
AUCUAUGCUGCAGAAUUAAGAUUAGAUUGCCUUUUAGUUUGUUGCCAUGUUAUUUAUAGUUCUUCACUAUCUGCUCCAUCAGCCAUUUUUGCAGUCUUGUAGUUGAGUAAUAUCUAUCAAAACUUGACACAUAUCAGGAAAGGUGUAAAUUUAAGUAUAUAAUAGCAUCUUAGGAUUGAAAAUUCCAUAAGAAAAAACGGCUAAGGAUAUGACUCAUGCUUUCCUAUUCUUUAUGCUUCUUCAAAGUUUAAGACCUAAUAAUAUGUCAGGAUGAAAAAUAGGUGGCCUGAAUUGAGGAAUGAGGAAAGGUGUAAAUUUAAGUUUAUAAUAGCAUCUUAGGAUUGAAAAUUCCAUAAGAAAGUACGGCUAAGGAUAUGACUCUUGCUUUCCUAUUCUUUAUGCUUAUUCAAAGUUUAAGACCUAAUAAUAUGUCAGGAUGAAAAAUAUGUGGCCUGAAUUGUCAAGAAAAUACUUUUUCUUAAUAGUGUUUCCUCCAUCCCCUCCUUGCCCCACUUAACAGUGGAAAGAAAUAAAGAACAGUAGAGAAGGAGAAUGCAGAAGUAUUUUUGUGAAAAAUACCUGAUAUAAUUGAUGACUAAUAUGGAGCUUACUACGAAAUGCCCUUUGGAAACAUACUGCUAUGUGUUCAUGAUUCUUCUUUUUCCAUUAAAGCUCCAAAGGUUUUUCAAGGUAAGCUUGCAAGCUUAUUGAAUGUGUUACUUACCAAGAAUGAAAGAACGAAAAAGAUAAAAUUAUACCUUUUUUAGGCUUCUCUAACCAUAGAUGUCCUUUAUGUAAGUGCUUUACUUUGAUCAAACUUUCAUAAUGUAAUUAUUUGGCUUAUUCCAUUUUGCUUCUAGAAUGAGAAAGUAAUUAUUCUUCUUUAAACGGGAAUACUAGAGAUUUGGCCCUCUGCUAUUAUCAUCAUGAAGUGCAAUGUUAAGAUUGGCUUGUGCCUAAUCAGAUGAAAUUAGAAUAUUCUGCUAUAUUUUGUCGGCUUUUAUGAUGUUCAUUCCUGUGAUACUCAUGUUGCUGAUGCUAUUUCAUGGCUAUUAGUGUCACACGUUUGAUGAUUUACCCUUUUUUAUAUCUUGACAGUCCAUGGUAGUAGCAGAUAUCUGUGUAUGCCUUUUACUUCCACGUGCUUGCUGUGUCCAUUGGGUUACUAGACAUGCAGUCGAGAUAUAUGACUCUCUCUUCUCUGCAUUUCUUCUCCAUUGGACUAUUUACAGAAUUGCCGAGGCAUUCACAAGUAGUAAACAUGCACCUCACAUAGUCUUAACUGGCUUGGUUUUCCCCCCAUA